rnacentral:lncRNA from 13 species
CAGCUUUUAAUAACACUCUUCACUCUUAAGCCCUCAGCAACAGUUUGUUCCAGGCUAUCAGUCACCUCUCAGACCUUCCAGCAUCCCACCAGCAUUUGGUCCCAAAGAUAAAGCCAUAUAUUUCAAUUGCCAAAUUAUAUUAUAGUAACUACUCUUGUGUAACUAACUACACCAAAAUUUAGUUGCAUAAAACAACCAUAUUAUUACACUAGCUCAUGGAUUCUGUUGGACAGGAAUUCUCAGACAGAGAAGGCCUAUCUUAUCAAUGCUAGAUUGAAUUCUCUGAAGACUUGGCUAGGAGUGACUCAGGGAGUGGAGGAGUUUUUAUCACUAAGACGCAUUUCACCCAUAUGUCUAGUGCCUGUAUUAAGAUGAAUAAAAAGUGUUUCCAACUGAGACUGGUGUUCAGAGUUCUUACACAUAUUUAGCCCAUGUGACCUUACAGUAUGGUGGCUUAGGGGUAAUCAGACAUCUUAAAUGUUGACUCAGACUUCUGUUGAGUCCCUUGGAUAAAACAAUCACAAGCCUAGUCAGAAUAAAAGUGAAGUGUAUAAUGCACACAUCCAAUAAGAAUGGUGUCAAACUACUGUGGUUUUUGUUUUGUUUUGCUUUUAGAUAAGGUCUUGCUCUGCUGCAUAGGCUAGAGUGCAGUUCCACAAUCACAGCUCAUUGCAGCAUGACCUCUCAGACGCAAGUGAUCCUCCCACCUCAGUUUCCCAAGUGACUGGGACUACAUGCAUGUGCCACUAUGCCCAGUUAAUUUUUUUUUUUUUGUAGAAAUGAUGUUUUGCUAUGUUGCCCCGACUGGUCUCAAACUCCUGAGAUCAAUUGAUCCUCCUGCCUUUGCCUCCCAAUGUGCUGGGAUUACAGGCGUGAGCCACUGUGCUCAGUUUCUGUGGGGCAGGAAUUCAGGAACUGUUUUGCUGACUUAUUCUGGCUCAGGACUUUUCAUAAGGUUGGAAUCAAGAUGUCAUCUGUGGCUGUUAUUCUCUAAAGGCUCGAGUGGGACUACAAAAUCUACUCCUGGGAUGAUUCACCUGCAUGGCUGUUGCCAAAGGGCUCAGUUCUUUACCACAUGAGAUUCUAAACAGGUAUGUGUGGGUUUCCUCAGGAUAUGACACGUCCUCAUGAUUAGGGUCCCCAAGAGCAAGUGAUCUGAGAGAGAAGGGCAUCCACAAGGUCUUUCAUGUCCUAGCUGCAGGGUCACACACAGUCAUUCUACCUUAUUCUACUGAAAAGAAGUGACCCAUUAAGUGCAGCCUACACAUAAGGGAUGAAGAAUUAGGCUCCAUCUUUUAAAUGAAGGGAUAAAGAAUUUGUGGACAUAUUUUGAAAGUCAAAACAUUUUUUAAUGUGUACUUUUCUACACUAUUGAUCUCAGAGGAGGAAGCCUCCUGGCUGUCUUUGUAUUCCCCAGGGUUGCUUGGUAUGGUGUAUGUGCCUCGUAUCUAUUGGUGCUAAUGCACAUGACUUGGUUUAUG